rnacentral:rRNA from 1 species
AUGAACGCUGGCGGCGUGUCUAAGGCAUGCAAGUUGAACGCCUGUAGCAAUACAGGAGUGGCAAACGGGUGCGUAACACAUUGGUAACCUACCUUGAAGUCGUGAAUAAUCCAGCGAAAGUUGGACUAAUACACGAUAGUCAAGGAGAGACUUCUGUCUUUCCUUGUAAAGAUUUAUCGCUUCAAGAGGGGCCUAUGUCCUAUCAGCUAGUUGGUGAGGUAAUGGCUCACCAAGGCUUUGACGGGUAGGGGGCGUAAGAGCGCGACCCCCCUCACUGGGACUGAGACACUGCCCAGACUCCUACGGGAGGCUGCAGUCGAGAAUAUUCCUCAAUGCACGAAAGUGUGAAGGAGCGACGCCGCGUGCCAGAAGAAGCCCUUCGGGGUGUAAAUGGCUUUUUUCAGGGACGAAUUCUGACGGUACCUGAAGAAUAAGUGGUUGCUAACUCUGU